GGCGAAGUUUGCAGUAGUCUGUGUGGCCUUAGGGCUUGUGGCUUGUAUACAAGCGGCGCCAGGUGGUUACGGAAGUAAUGGCGGUGGAGGUUACGGCGGGGGAGGCGGCGGCGGCGGCGGAGGAGGCUUCGGGGGCGGCGGUGGUUUUGGAAAAGGAGGAGGUGGUGGUGGUGGAUUUGGCGGUGGUGGUGGUAAUGGAGGUGGUCUAGGAGGCGGCGGUGCUUACGGUGGUUCCGGUGGCAGCGGGGGUGGACUUGGGGGCGGACAUAGUGGCGGACACGGCGGUGGCCACGGCGACGGACUCGGAGGAGGCCACGGUGGUGGCGGUGGACUCGGGGGCGGAUACGGUGGUGGCGCUGGAAUCGGAGGAGGCCAUGGUGGUGGCGGUGGACUUGGAGGAGGGCACGGUGGCGGCGGUGGACUCGGGGGAGGCCACGGUGGUGGUGGUGGCCUUGGAGGAGGCCACGGCGGCGAUGGUGGACUCGGGGGCGGCCACGGGGGAUCAGGUGGUGGUGGACACGGAGGCUACGGGGGAGCCAGUGCCAGUGCUCAAUCAAGCGCCAGCUCAGGAGGAAAAUACGGAGGUUAAAUUUGAAACGCUUCGACACAAGAAUGGCGUUACCAAAGCAACCGCUGCUCAAAGAUAAUGGAAUCAAAUAAAAACAAUUAAAUGUGAUAUUUUAGUAUUAAAGUUCGCCAUUUAUGAUUUAUUACGUCGUAUUUUGUGCAAUAAUAGACAUUAUUACAAGAAA